rnacentral:rRNA from 1 species
CCUACGUGAGGCAGCAGUAGGGAAUCUUCCACAAUGGGCGAAAGCCUGAUGGAGCAACGCCGCGUGGGUGAAGAAGGUCUUCGGAUCGUAAAACCCUGUUGUUAGAGAAGAAAGUGCGUGAGAGUAACUGUUCACGUUUCGACGGUAUCUAACCAGAAAGCCACGGCUAACUACGUGCCAGCAGCCGCGGUAAUACGUAGGUGGCAAGCGUUAUCCGGAUUUAUUGGGCGUAAAGGGAACGCAGGCGGUCUUUUAAGUCUGAUGUGAAAGCCUUCGGCUUAACCGGAGUAGUGCAUGGGAAACUGGGAGACUUGAGUGCAGAAGAGGAGAGUGGAACUCCAUGUGUAGCGGUGAAAUGCGUAGAUAUAUGGAAGAACACCAGUGGCGAAAGCGGCUCUCUGGUCUGUAACUGACGCUGAGGUUCGAAAGCGUGGGUAGCAAACAGGAUUAGAUACCCUGGUAGUC